rnacentral:rRNA from 1 species
UUAAGUGACUAAGCGUACACGGUGGAUGCCUUGGCAGUCAGAGGCGAUGAAAGACGUAGUAACUUGCGAUAAGCCCAGAUUAGGUAGUAACAACCAUUUGAGUCUGGGAUUUCUGAAUGGGGAAACCCACGUGCAUAAGCACGUAUCCUUACCUGAAUACAUAGGGUAAGGAGGCGAACCGGGGGAACUGAAACAUCUAAGUACCCCGAGGAAAAGAAAUCAACCGAGAUUCCGAAAGUAGCGGCGAGCGAAAUUGGACUAGCCCUUAAGCUUUACACGCGUUAGACGAACGGUCUGGAAAGUCCGACGAUACAGGGUGAUAGUCCCGUAGUUGACGACGUGUGUUCAGUGAAAUCGAGUAGGGCGGGACACGUGAUAUCCUGUCUGAAUAUGGGGGACCAUCCUCCAAGGCUAAAUACUACUGACUGACCGAUAGUGAACCAGUACCGUGAGGGAAAGGCGAAAAGAACCCCUGUGAGGGGAGUGAAAUAGAACCUGAAACCGUGUACGUACAAGCAGUAGGAGCAGGCUUUGUCCUGUGACUGCGUACCUUUUGUAUAAUGGGUCAGCGACUUAUAUUCAGUGGCAAGGUUAACCAUCUAGGGGAGCCGUAGGGAAACCGAGUCUUAACUGGGCGUUCAGUCUCUGGAUAUAGACCCGAAACCAGGUGAUCUAGCCAUGGGCAGGUUGAAGGUUGAGUAACAUCAACUGGAGGACCGAACCGACUAAUGUUGAAAAUUAGCGGAUGACUUGUGGCUAGGGGUGAAAGGCCAAUCAAACCUGGAGAUAGCUGGUUCUCCCCGAAAGCUAUUUAGGUAGCGCCUCGGACGAAUACUACUGGGGGUAGAGCACUGUUAAGGCUAGGGGGUCAUCCCGACUUACCAACCCUUUGCAAACUCCGAAUACCAGUAAGUACUAUCCGGGAGACACACGGCGGGUGCUAACGUCCGUCGUGGAGAGGGAAACAACCCAGACCGCCAGCUAAGGUCCCAAAUUACUACUAAGUGGGAAACGAUGUGGGAAGGCUCAGACAGCCAGGAUGUUGGCUUAGAAGCAGCCAUCAUUUAAAGAAAGCGUAAUAGCUCACUGGUCGAGUCGGCCUGCGCGGAAGAUGUAACGGGGCUAAGUAGUAAACCGAAGCUGCGGCAAUAUACUUUUGUAUAUUGGGUAGGGGAGCGUUCUGUAAGCGGUUGAAGGUGUGUGGUAACGCAUGCUGGACGUAUCAGAAGUGCGAAUGCUGACAUGAGUAACGAUAAAGGGGGUGAAAAAACCUCCUCGCCGGAAGACCAAGGGUUCCUGUCCAACGUUAAUCGGGGGCAGGGUAAGUCGACCCCUAAGGCGAGGCCGAAAGGCGUAGUCGAUGGGAAACGGGUUAAUAUUCCCGUACUUCUUACAAUUGCGAUGGGGGGACGGAGAAGGCUAGGUGGGCCUGGCGACGGUUGUCCAGGUUCAAGUGCGUAGGCUUAAGAGUUAGGUAAAUCCGGCUCUUCUAAGGCUGAGACACGACGUCGAGCACCUACGGGUGUGAAGUCAUUGAUGCCAUGCUUCCAGGAAAAGCCUCUAAGCUUCAGAUUGUAAGGAAUCGUACCCCAAACCGACACAGGUGGUCGGGUAGAGAAUACCAAGGCGCUUGAGAGAACUCGGGUGAAGGAACUAGGCAAAAUGGUACCGUAACUUCGGGAGAAGGUACGCUCUUGAUGGUGAAGUCCCUUGCGGAUGGAGCUGACGAGAGUCGCAGAUACCAGGUGGCUGCAACUGUUUAUUAAAAACACAGCACUGUGCAAAAUCGUAAGAUGACGUAUACGGUGUGACGCCUGCCCGGUGCCGGAAGGUUAAUUGAUGGGGUUAGACUUCGGUCGAAGCUCUUGAUCGAAGCCCCGGUAAACGGCGGCCGUAACUAUAACGGUCCUAAGGUAGCGAAAUUCCUUGUCGGGUAAGUUCCGACCUGCACGAAUGGCGUAAUGAUGGCCACGCUGUCUCCACCCGAGACUCAGUGAAAUUGAAAUCGCUGUGAAGAUGCAGUGUACCCGCGGCUAGACGGAAAGACCCGUGAACCUUUACUACAGCUUGGCACUGAACAUUGACCCUACAUGUGUAGGAUAGGUGGGAGGCUUUGAAGCACGUACGCCAGUAUGUGUGGAGCCGUCCUUGAAAUACCACCCUUGUAGUGUUGAUGUUCUAACGUCGACCCCUUAUCGGGGUUGCGGACAGUGCCUGGUGGGUAGUUUGACUGGGGCGGUCUCCUCCCAAAGAGUAACGGAGGAGCACGAAGGUGGGCUAAUCACGGUUGGACAUCGUGAGGUUAGUGCAAUGGCAUAGCCGCUUGACUGCGAGAAUGACAAUUCGAGCAGGUGCGAAAGCAGGUCAUAGUGAUCCGGUGGUUCUGAAUGGAAGGGCCAUCGCUCAACGGAUAAAAGGUACUCCGGGGAUAACAGGCUGAUACCGCCCAAGAGUUCAUAUCGACGGCGGUGUUUGGCACCUCGAUGUCGGCUCAUCACAUCCUGGGCUGAAGUCGGUCCCAAGGGUAUGGCUGUUCGCCAUUUAAAGUGGUACGCGAGCUGGGUUUAGAACGUCGUGAGACAGUUCGGUCCCUAUCUGCCGUGGGCGUUGGAAGAUUGAAGGGGGCUGCUCCUAGUACGAGAGGACCGGAGUGGACGAACCUCUGGUGUUCGGGUUGUGUCGCCAGACGCAUUGCCCGGUAGCUAAGUUCGGAAUCGAUAACCGCUGAAAGCAUCUAAGCGGGAAGCGAGCCCUGAGAUGAGUCUUCCCUGAUACUUUAAGUAUCCUAAAGGGUUGUCGGAGACUACGACGUUGAUAGGUCAGGUGUGUAAGUGCUGUGAGGCAUUGAGCUAACUGAUACUAAUUGCCCGUGAGGCUUAACCAU